AGUGAACGCUGGCGGUAGGCCUAACACAUGCAAGUCGAACGGCAGCACAGUAAGAGCUUGCUCUUACGGGUGGCGAGUGGCGGACGGGUGAGGAAUACAUCGGAAUCUACUUUUUCGUGGGGGAUAAGGUAGGGAAACUUACGCUAAUACCGCAUACGACCUACGGGUGAAAGCAGGGGAUCUUCGGACCUUGCGCGAUUGAAUGAGCCGAUGUCGGAUUAGCUAGUUGGCGGGGUAAAGGCCCACCAAGGCGACGGUCCGUGGCUGGUCUGAGAGGAUGAUCAGCCACACUGGAACUGAGACACGGACCAGACUCCUACGGGAGGCAGCAGUGGGGAAUGUUGGGCAAUGGGCGCAAGCCUGGUCCAGCCAUACCGCGUGGGUGAAGAAGGCCUUCGGGUUGUAAAGCCCUUUUGUGGGGAAGGAAAAGCAGCAGGUUAAUACCCCGCUGUUCUGACGGUACCCAAAGAAUAAGCACCGGCUAACUUCGUG
rnacentral:rRNA from 1 species